ensembl:lncRNA
AGAAAUGAAGCCAAAGACCAUCUCAUUGUAUUGAUUUUUGGAGAGGAGGUCUAAAUAUUGCAGCGUGGGAUAUAUGAGCCAGAGGUCCAUAAUGUGCCCUGCACACUGUGUCUCCUUCUGUGAGAGCCUUGAAGUGGAGCCGACAAGGGCAAUUAGAAGGAAGGUGAUCCUAUCUGUAAACAACAACACUAUGAGGAAGGGAGAGAUGAGACCUUGAUCUCAUUAAUAACACUAUGAUAAAGGAGGGGUAAAGUGCUUUAGUUGAAAGGCUUAACAGAGAUGAAGCACAUUCAUUAUAGUAAAUGGCUUUGUUUCUUAUUAAAGUAGUUGCACAGACGUAUGAUGGUGAACUAUGGGGUCAAAAGACUCCCCUUGCCCCAGUAGUAGCUCUAUGACAGAAGAUUGCAUCUCACCAUAACCUCCCUCAGCCUUCCCCUUCACGUCCAUCCUCUCUUUCUCUUUUCUCCUCCACUCUUCUCUGUGCCUGCAUGAUGUGUGUGCUGUCAAGGAGAGAGAGAGUGAGGUCUGUGGAGGUUCUGGCCCUCAGACAGGGCCGUCUGCUGCAGCCCCACGGCCAGCCAAGCCGCCAAGCAGGAAGUAGAGCUGGGGCUGCUCUCCUCUCCCAGGUCCUGCCUCAUAGAAAUGGCCACCUGUUCAAGGGGCUCUCCCUCCUCUCUCCCUCUCCCCCUGGCCUGGACCAGCUGUGCCAGAGACACGCCCCCCCGCUCUGCCCGCCCAGCAGAGGACACAAGCUGGGACAACAUGCCCCCUAUGCCUGGCAGACGGACAGAGACAGACGGACAGAGACAAACGGACGGACAGAGACGGACGGACAGAGACAGACAGACGGACAGAGACGAACGGACAGACAGAGAGACAGACGGACAGAGCCAGAUGGACGGACAGACAGAGAGACAGACGGACGGACAGACAGAGACAGACAGACGGACAGAGACGGACGGACGGACAGACAGAGAGACAGACAGACAGAGACAGACGGACGGACCGAGACAGACAAGCGGACAGACACGGGCGGACGGACGGACGGACAGACAGACAGAGGCAGGCAGGCGGGCAAAUCAAGGCACACUAUGUACCCAGCAAUGAGGUUGUCUCUUGUAGACAAAGGUUAAAUCUUAAUGGGCUGUAGUAUGAGCACAGGUUUCAUAAACAUUUUGAGAUCAUGAUACUUAGUGUGAUACACAAUACUGAGGAACAGGGGGAGGGGAAGAUAAACAGCAGACAGUAGAGUUAAUAUACAGUUCCUAUAAUAUACAGUUCCUGAGGUUCAUCUCACAUAUGCCUAUGUGUUUCUCUUUUCCUCUCCACGGGAACACUCUGGCAUCGUUCCCCGGCCAAGCCUAUCAGAUGGCCGUGUCUUGGCAGGUGAUACUGCACAUGUGCAGCACACUCUGCAUGGCAACAAUGCCACUUCAGCAGAUAACGGUGUCCCCUGUCCUGAAGGAAGUUCACACCGUCUGUCUGGUGCCACCUGCUGAGGUGACGGAUGGGUGUGAAGAGCAAAACAUCUGGACUGAGGAUGUGCGGCCUCCUGGCUGCUGAUGCUGCUGCUGCUGCCCAGCUGUGUGUGGCCUGCCUGGGCCAGCCUGGCCUCUGAUUACUGGCCAUCUGCAGCAGCAGGAGCCACCCUGAGGACAGACAGAUCUCUAACCCCUGCCUAAAGGCCAGCUCAUCUCUGUGGCUGAGCUUUCCUGUCUCCCUUUCUCUCCUCUCCCUACUUUUUCUCUCUUCUUUUUUUCUCCAUUGCUGUGUCUCUUCUCUUCUUUGCUGUCACACACAGGUCUGAACCCUGGUGAUGAAGAGAGGGGAGGGGAGAGAGGGAGAUGGAGAGGGGGUUACUGAAAGGUGUCACAUGCGCUGAUGUGAUAAGGGUGCCAGUCAGAGUGAAUGCCUGAACCGUAGAGGUGUUUCUGUGAGCCUAAAUCGUCUGGAGCUCAUGUGGGAGGGGAGCUGUGUGUCUAAAUACAGGACGUCGGGAGAGGAAGUCAGUUUACUAGUCAAAAAUAGACGUUUGUCCAAGGACGUCAAGACCCGAGACUGUGAGAUCUUGUUGACACUGAAACUCGAUGUACUAGUGGUGACUAACGUGUCAACAUGAUCCCACCUGCUCAGCGGUGAGAUCGUUAUGGUGGGAACGGGCGGUGCCAGAUUACUGUGACCUGCAGCCCCCCUCCAGAUGGACACUCUCCCAGCUGGCUAACUCCUUUUAAGGAGCUUCAUUAUUACCAUGCCGCUCUUUGGUUAGAUUACACACACACAGGGAUGUACACGCACCCGCGCACACACACGCACACACAGGGAUGUACAGUACACAAGCACAUGCAUACAAACAACACCCAUACACACAUUCCUUUGUGCCCACCUCCUUGCCAUUUCAUAGGAGGCAGUAGGGAGAAGAGGGGGC